rnacentral:lncRNA from 1 species
UGGUCCCCCCCCCCCCUCUCCAUCACUGCAAAAUUGCCAUUGAUGAGCAGCGACCAAAGCUUGGUACAAGACAAAGUUUGAUUCCCAACAUGUCUAACACCCACCAGCUGAGUUAUUCUAGUAAGUCUUCCCUCUACUUGGUACUUUCGGUUGUUAUUACCCCUUCCAUUUCCCAAUUAGGGUUUUCUGUUUUGUAGAAAUAGAGGAGAUCAUGUCAAAAUUAAGAUGACCCCCUAUGAAGAACGAGUUCCCCUAUGAUGGUGAAGAAGUAUUGUCCCACUCCGGCUUGCGGGUUCAAGGCGUAUUUUGCACACGUCUAGGAACCAUUAAAGAAAUUUUUCAGGUGCCCCCGAUAUCUCUCCCACGUUUAGAAAGGAUGUGGUUAUUUUGAUUGGUAUGAUGUGAAGGUAGCUGCAACGAAAGACAAGCAAGAGCUCGUUGAAAUGGUGGAUAGGUUGUAGGUGAACAUAAAAAAACUGGAACAAGCCAACUUAGAGUUGAAGUCAAAAAUCGGAAUGGAGAAGGAAGAAGAAGCUUGCUCGUCAUCCAAUAUGUCUCUUCAGAUGGACUAUGAAAUUGUUGGUGAGUUGGAAAGGCUGAAAUGCAGGGUUGGUUUACUUGAGAGAAGGGGGUGUUGUGGACAUAGCAACAUGAACUGAGGGGUGUUAUGAUUUUAUGUAAAUCACUAUAGGGUUUGUUGCAAUGGUCCAUGUACUUGUACUAUUAUUGUGCAUUAUAUUCUACUAUUUCCACAAACGUAGUUCUAGUUAUACUACAUCAAACACAUCAUCCACAAACCCUAACUGUUUUCGUAGUCAUAUUACAUAACCCAUAAGCGAUUAUG